UACGGAGGGGUGCAAGCGUUAUCCGGAUUUACUGGGUUUAAAGGGUGCGUAGGUGGGUCUGUAAGUCAGUGGUGAAAUCUCCGAGCUUAACUCGGAAACUGCCAUUGAUACUAUAGGUCUUGAAUUAUCUGGAGGUAAGCGGAAUAUGUCAUGUAGCGGUGAAAUGCUUAGAUAUGACAUAGAACACCAAUUGCGAAGGUAGCUUACUACGGAUUGAUUGACACUGAGGCACGAAAGCGUGGGGAUCAAACAGG
rnacentral:rRNA from 1 species